rnacentral:rRNA from 1 species
UACGGGGGAUGCAAGCGUUAUCCGGAAUCAUUGGGCGUAAAGCGCCUGUAGGUUGUUUAAUAAGUCUGUUGUUAAAGACUGGGGCUUAACCCCAGGAAAGCAAUGGAAACUACUAGACUAGAGUAUGGUAGGGGUAAAGGGAAUUUCUAGUGUAGCGGUGAAAUGCGUAGAUAUUAGAAAGAACACCGGUGGCGAAAGCGCUUUACUGGACCAUUACUGACACUCAGAGGCGAAAGCUAGGGUAGCCAAAGGGAUUAGAUACCCCUGUAGGCCUAGCCGUAAACGAUGGAUACUAGAUGUUGCGCUUAUUGUGCAGUGUCGUAGCUAACGCAUUAAGCUCUCCGCCUGGGGAGUAUGGUCGCAAGAUUA